rnacentral:rRNA from 1 species
CCGGCGCACGGGUGAGUAACACGUAUGCAAUCCACCUGUAACAGGGGGAUAACCCGGAGAAAUCCGGACUAAUACCCCAUAAUAUGGGCGCUCCGCAUGGGGAGCCCAUUAAAGAGAGCAAUUUUGGUUACAGACGAGCAUGCGCUCCAUUAGCCAGUUGGCGGGGUAACGGCCCACCAAAGCGACGAUGGAUAGGGGUUCUGAGAGGAAGGUCCCCCACAUUGGAACUGAGACACGGUCCAA